rnacentral:rRNA from 1 species
UGCAAGUCGGGCGGUAGCACAAGGAGCUUGCUCCUUGGGUGACGAGCGGCGGACGGGUGAGUAAUGUCUGGGAAACUGCCUGAUGGAGGGGGAUAACUACUGGAAACGGUAGCUAAUACCGCAUAACGUCGCAAGACCAAAGAGGGGGACCUUCGGGCCUCUUGCCAUCGGAUGUGCCCAGAUGGGAUUAGCUAGUAGGUGAGGUAAAGGCUCACCUAGGCGACGAUCCCUAGCUGGUCUGAGAGGAUGACCAGCCACACUGGAACUGAGACACGGUCCAGACUCCUACGGGAGGCAGCAGUGGGGAAUAUUGCACAAUGGGCGCAAGCCUGAUGCAGCCAUGCCGCGUGUGUGAAGAAGGCCUUCGGGUUGUAAAGCACUUUCAGCGGGGAGGAAGGGAGCAGGCUUAAUACGUCUGUUCAUUGACGUUACCCGCAGAAGAAGCACCGGCUAACUCCGUGCCAGCAGCCGCGGUAAUACGGAGGGUGCAAGCGUUAAUCGGAAUGACUGGGCGUAAAGCGCACGCAGGCGGUCUGUUAAGUUGGAUGUGAAAUCCCCGGGCUUAACCUGGGAACUGCAUUCAAAACUGACAGGCUAGAGUCUCGUAGAGGGGGGUAGAAUUCCAGGUGUAGCGGUGAAAUGCGUAGAGAUCUGGAGGAAUACCGGUGGCGAAGGCGGCCCCCUGGACGAAGACUGACGCUCAGGUGCGAAAGCGUGGGGAGCAAACAGGAUUAGAUACCCUGGUAGUCCACGCUGUAAACGAUGUCGAUUUGGAGGUUGUGGUCUUGAACCGUGGCUUCCGGAGCUAACGCGUUAAAUCGACCGCCUGGGGAGUACGGCCGCAAGGUUAAAACUCAAAUGAAUUGACGGGGGCCCGCACAAGCGGUGGAGCAUGUGGUUUAAUUCGAUGCAACGCGAAGAACCUUACCUACUCUUGACAUCCAGAGAAGACUGCAGAGAUGCGGUUGUGCCUUCGGGAACUCUGAGACAGGUGCUGCAUGGCUGUCGUCAGCUCGUGUUGUGAAAUGUUGGGUUAAGUCCCGCAACGAGCGCAACCCUUAUCCUUUGUUGCCAGCACGUUAUGGUGGGAACUCAAGGGAGACUGCCGGUGAUAAACCGGAGGAAGGUGGGGAUGACGUCAAGUCAUCAUGGCCCUUACGAGUAGGGCUACACACGUGCUACAAUGGCGUAUACAAAGAGAAGCGACCUCGCGAGAGCAAGCGGACCUCAUAAAGUACGUCGUAGUCCGGAUUGGAGUCUGCAACUCGACUCCAUGAAGUCGGAAUCGCUAGUAAUCGUAGAUCAGAAUGCUACGGUGAAUACGUUCCCGGGCCUUGUACACACCGCCCGUCACACCAUGGGAGUGGGUUGCAAAAGAAGUAGGUAGCUUAACCUUCGGGAGGGCGCUUACCAC